rnacentral:rRNA from 1 species
CGAGUCUUAAUUGGGCGUUAAGUUGCAGGGUAUAGACCCGAAACCCGGUGAUCUAGCCAUGGGCAGGUUGAAGGUUGGGUAACACUAACUGGAGGACCGAACCGACUAAUGUUGAAAAAUUAGCGGAUGACCUGUGGCUGGGGGUGAAAGGCCAAUCAAACCGGGAGAUAGCUGGUUCUCCCCGAAAGCUAUUUAGGUAGCGCCUCGUGAAUUCAUCUCCGGGGGUAGAGCACUGUUUCGGCUAGGGGGCCAUCCCGGCUUACCAACCCGAUGCAAACUGCGAAUACCGGAGAAUGUUAUCACGGGAGACACACGGCGGGUGCUAACGUCCGUCGUGAAGAGGGAAACAACCCAGACCGCCAGCUAAGGUCCCAAAGUCAUGGUUAAGUGGGAAACGAUGUGGGAAGGCCCAGACAGCCAGGAUGUUGGCUUAGAAGCAGCCAUCAUUUAAAGAAAGCGUAAUAGCUCACUGGUCGAGUCGGCCUGCGCGGAAGAUGUAACGGGGCUAAACCAUGCACCGAAGCUGCGGCAGCGAACGUAUCACCCAAGACAACUUUACGGAGUUGACGAUUGACGGAGCGAAGCGACGUCAAAGCGUUCAUUAAAGUCGAGUUGGCUUAGGGAUACGUUCGUUGGGUAG